UAUAAAUGCAGUACGAGAAUAAUUUAUAGUGUGGUGCGGACUACCAGACCAUAUGUGGGAAAUCAGGUUAAGUUUUACGUGUAUGAAUACUUACGAAGACGGAUUUGCGCGACACCGCAACAGCGUGAUAUUAUAAUAAAUGGUUGAUGUAAUCUGAGCAAUAAGAUGAUAAGACACACGACUUGGAGAAAAAAAACAAAAACAGUCAUCAAUACGCACGAAAAAGGAUUUGCGCAAGAAACGCCGGUAAAAUGAAGGUAGCUGAUGUAAUUUGAACGAUAGGAUUAUCAAAAAAACACGACUUGGAGAAAUAAUACAGUCACUAUUAGACAAUAAUUUGCCUGUCUUGCGUGUGACUUUAAAUCCAUCAUUGUUAAAGAUGAAAGAGGUA